GAUCCCGUGCUUCCUGGGAGGUGUGAGCCUGUGCUUCCUGGGAGGUGUGAGCCCAUGCUCCCUGGGAGGUCUGAUCCCGUGCUUCCUGGGAGGUGUGAUAUUGUGGUUCCUGGGAGGUAUGAUAUCGUGGUUCCUGGGAGGUGUGAUC
rnacentral:miRNA from 1 species